rnacentral:rRNA from 1 species
GACGAACGCUGGCGGCGUGCUUAACACAUGCAAGUCGAACGGAAAGGCCCUGCUUUUGUGGGGUUCUCGAGUGGCGAACGGGUGAGUAACACGUGAGUAACCUGCCCUUGACUUUGGGAUAACUUCAGGAAACUGGGGCUAAUACCGGAUAGGAGCUCCUGCUGCAUGGUGGGGGUUGGAAAGUUUCGGCGGUUGGGGAUGGACUCGCGGCUUAUCAGCUUGUUUGUGGGGUAGUGGCUUACCAAGGCUUUGACGGGUAGCCGGCCUGAGAGGGUGACCGGCGACAUUGGGACUGAGAUACGGACCAGACUCCUACGGGAGGCAGCAGUGGGGAGUAUUGCACAAUGGGCGGAAGCCUGAUGCAGCAACGCCGCGUGCGGGAUGCCGGCCUUCGGGUUGUAAACCGCUUUCGACUGUGACGAAGCGUGAGUGACGGUAAUGGGUAAAGAAGCACCGGCUAACUACGUG